GCUCUCGUAGCUUAGUUGGUUAAAGCACUUGUUUUGUAAGUGGGAGGUCUUUAGUUCAACUAUCAACGAGAGCA